AAAAAAAAGCAAAAAUUAAGUAAUACUGAAUUUAUAACAAUACUUUCACCACGACUUCGCAGCAAAGAGGUCCCUUCACAGCUUGGACGCAGUGGUUGGGUUUGGUGCUAAAGCUUUCCUAAGCAGACCCUCUUGCGUCAAUGAUACAACAUGCUCCCCCUUUCUAUUAAACAUUUGGCCGGAUACAAAGCCACGUGAGUGGGCGGCAGCAGGACUCUUAAUCACAAAUAAUAUCCAGUCAUCAGCUCUAAAUGAGCGGUGGAACCACAUCGAGUGGUCUAGACUAACAGCAGCUGUCUUCAAACCCUUAGUGCGGUGGGGAUUCAUACUGACUUGAAGAAAUAUAAGAUCUGAAGCAUAUGCUGCUACACAUCUAUGCAAAGCCUGGUCAUCUGAAAGUUUUCCUUU
rnacentral:misc_RNA from 1 species